AGCGAACGCUGGCGGCAGGCCUAACACAUGCAAGUCGAACGAUCCUUCGGGAUAGUGGCGGACGGGUGAGUAACACGUGGGAACGUGCCCUUUGGUUCGGAAUAACUCAGGGAAACUUGAGCUAAUACCGGAUGUGCCCUUCGGGGGAAAGAUUUAUCGCCAUUGGAGCGGCCCGCGUCUGAUUAGCUAGUUGGUGAGGUAAAGGCUCACCAAGGCGACGAUCAGUAGCUGGUCUGAGAGGAUGAUCAGCCACACUGGGACUGAGACACGGCCCAGACUCCUACGGGAGGCAGCAGUGGGGAAUCUUGCGCAAUGGGCGAAAGCCUGACGCAGCCAUGCCGCGUGAAUGAUGAAGGUCUUAGGAUUGUAAAAUUCUUUCACCGGGGACGAUAAUGACGGUACCCGGAGAAGAAGCCCCGGCUAACUUCGUGCCAGCAGCCGCGGUAACAC
rnacentral:rRNA from 1 species